UUGCAUUUCUAUUCCUCCACAGAGACCGCCGCUCGGCUUGCUGAUAUUGGACCAACAACGCUUGCGGAAUUAGCAAAGAGGACGCAGAAUCGGGAUCUUUUUCCCAGUUUAUUGGCUUCUUCUGGAACCACAGGUGCUGUGAUGCUGGAGACGAGCAGCGCAUCAAGAUGACCGCCACACAGCAGGACUCUGAAAUGACACUGUUAUCAACUGGGCUUUUUCCACCAAAUUGCCCACCACCAUCCAACUGGGUCAAAGCAGCUCACCAGCGACCCAGCAUUAUUUUCAGGAGCUCUGCGUUUGUGAGAUGGAGAAACGCAAUACUGAUGCAAAGCCUUGACGGUAUCAGAAGACGACAGAUUAAUCACUGGGCAAACACUGCAGACAGAGAUGAAGAUAUAAAGGCUCUUUCAUAAUGUAAUAAGCAAUAAAUGUCACAAACGUACUUGA